rnacentral:rRNA from 1 species
UAUUGGACAAUGGGCGCAAGCCUGAUCCAGCCAUGCCGCGUGGAUGAUGAAGGCCCUAGGCUUGUAAAGUCCUUUCGGCGGGGAAGAUAAUGACGGUACCCGCAGAAGAAGCCCCGGCUAACUUCGUGCCAGCAGCCGCGGUAAUACGAAGGGGGCUAGCGUUGCUCGGAAUCACUGGGCGUAAAGCGCACGUAGGCGGACUCUUAAGUCGGUGGUGAAAUCCUGGAGCUCAACUCCAGAACUGCCUUCGAUACUGAGAGUCUCGAGUCCGGGAGAGGUGAGUGGAACUGCGAGUGUAGAGGUGAAAUUCGUAGAUAUUCGCAAGAACACCAGUGGCGAAGGCGGCUCACUGGCCCGGUACUGACGCUGAGGUGCGAAG